rnacentral:miRNA from 1 species
AUGUGUAUAUAUUGUUUGUAUAUAUGUACAUGUGCAUGCAUAUGUGCAUACAUACACACACACACACACA